rnacentral:misc_RNA from 1 species
CACCAAGAAGAUCCCAACAAAAAAUUUUGGUUUGACAAGUUCAUCUGUUCUUGGAGCAGCCAGCAAACCAGAACGGCAUAUACCCUUUCCCUUCUCUUCCUUUCUGCGCAGUUGGCGAGAGAGAGCAGGCAUCAAUGGGUUCCAUUAUUCGUGAGUGGGUCGGGUUUCAGCAGUUCCCUUCUGCCACGCAAAGCAAACUCGUGGAAUUGUUUGGCAAAUUAAAGGAAGAGGGUGCAAGCACUUUGACCAUUCUUGUUAUGGGUAAAGGUGGAGUUGGAAAAUCUUCCACUGUCAAUUCUGUCAUUGGAGAGCGAGUGGUUAAUGUGAAUUCCUUCUCGUCAGAGGUGUCAAGACCUGUAAUGGUUUCACGGACCCGGUCUGGAUUCUCAUUGAACAUCAUAGACACCCCGGGCCUUGUGGAGGGUGGCUAUGUUAGUUACCAAGCUUUGGAAUUGAUUAAACGGUUUCUUUUGAACAAGACUAUAGAUGUUCUUUUGUAUGUUGACCGCUUGGAUGCAUAUAGAGUGGAUGACUUGGAU